rnacentral:rRNA from 1 species
AGUCGACGAUGAAUCUUCUAGCUUGCUAGAAGUGGAUUAGUGGCGCACGGGUGAGUAAUGCAUAGGUUAUGUGCCCUUUAGUCUGGGAUAGCCACUGGAAACGGUGAUUAAUACUGGAUACUCCCUACGGGGGAAAGUUUUUCGCUAAAGGAUCAGCCUAUGUCCUAUCAGCUUGUUGGUGGGGUAAUGGCUCACCAAGGCUAUGACGGGUAUCCGGCCUGAGAGGGUGAUCGGACACACUGGAACUGAGACACGGUCCAGACUCCUACGGGAGGCAGCAGUAGGGAAUAUUGCUCAAUGGGGGAAACCCUGAAGCAGCAACGCCGCGUGGAGGAUGAAGGUUUUAGGAUUGUAAACUCCUUUUGUUAGAGAAGAUUAUGACGGUAUCUAACGAAUAAGCACCGGCAAACUCCGUGCCAGCAGCCGCGGUAAUACGGAGGGUGCAAGCGUUACUCGGAAUCACUGGGCGUAAAGAGUGCGUAGGCGGGGUAAUAAGUCAGAUGUGAAAUCCUGUAGCUUAACUACAGAACUGCAUUUGAAACUGUUACUCUGGAGUGUGGGAGAGGUAGGUGGAAUACUUGGUGUAGGGGUAAAAUCCGUAGAGAUCAAGAGGAAUACUCAUUGCGAAGGCGACCUGCUGGAACAUUACUGACGCUGAUGCACGAAAGCGUGGGGAGCAAACAGGAUUAGAUACCCUGGUAGUCCACGCCCUAAACGAUGGAUGCUAGUUGUUGCCUUGCUUGUCAGGGCAGUAAUGCAGCUAACGCAUUAAGCAUCCCGCCUGGGGAGUACGGUCGCAAGAUUAAAACUCAAAGGAAUAGACGGGGACCCGCACAAGCGGUGGAGCAUGUGGUUUAAUUCGAAGAUACGCGAAGAACCUUACCUAGGCUUGACAUUG